rnacentral:rRNA from 1 species
ACUAACGGCUGGCGGCGUAGCCUAAUACAUGCAAGGUCAACGGGAUUCUUGAUCAGGCUUGACUGAGAGAAGGAUCUAGUGGCGGACGGGUGAGUAACGCGUGGGAAUCUGCCUCGUUACUGGGGGAUAACAGUGGGAAACUACUGCUAAUACCGCAUAAGAUCUUCGGAUGAAAGGUGCAACUGCACCGGUAAGAGAUGAGCCCGCGUCCCAUUAGCUAGUUGGUGAGGUAAAGGCUCACCAAGGCGACGAUGGGUAGCCGGCCUGAGAGGGUGAACGGCCACACUGGGACUGAGACACGGCCCAGACUCCUACGGGAGGCAGCAGUAGGGAAUCUUCCGCAAUGGGCGCAAGCCUGACGGAGCGACGCCGCGUGAGUGAUGAAGGCCUUCGGGUCGUAAAGCUCUGUUCUUGAGGACGAAUAAGCCAGGGAGUGGAAAGCCCUGGUGAUGACUGUACUCAAGGAGAAAGCUCCGGCUAACUACGUG